UCGUUUAGCAAGUGCUUCAAAACGUUCUACAUUUAGUUCUUAGAAAAGGACUGUAAAAGGUUUUCGGCAAGACAGUGAGAGUGUUAAAGGCACAGAGACACCGGCUGUUGCAGGUACACCAAGGCUUUAUGUCACUGUGUCUGCUAACAAGCUAACAAGCUAACAAGCCUUACCGGACCACUCAGCUGACCACAGUGAGGCUGACUCUCAUUGUCAUGAACCCCAAGAUGGAUUGGCUUCAUAACCAUGUGGGCCAAGCUUUCAGGAGAAGCUUAAAAUUCAAUCGCCAACCACUUCGGUCCUGAAGGGGGGGGGGGGGCACUCUGGAUUUUAAAAUCAGAAGAUGUGUUUGAUUAAGAAGAAUGCAUAUUAAAAUAUUUUAAAUCCAGCUAAUAAAGACACAAGAGACACAUAGGAAAUAAAUAAAGGUAUUUAUUGUAAUUCCACAUUAAUCGUCAUUCUCGAUUCAGUUCUCACAUUUUAAUAGUUAGUUAUUUGACUAUCUAUCUGACAUAAGGUCUGACAUUACCUUUUUUUUCUCAAAUGAUGUCACCUAUGCAGGAUAAUUAAACCUAUGUAAAGGUAAUAGCCCUUAGAUCAAACACAGUCUAUUUCUCAAUAAAUACUGCCCUGUGUAAAAGUAUGAAGACUGGAAUGAUCUCAUCUCUUUUGACCUGUGCUAGUUGGCCACGGAUCCUUUACAGAAAAGGAAAGAAAGGGCUCACUGGCUAAACUGUGGUCAAGGUCCAUGGCUUAAUAACAGCCACAUGUUUAUUACUUAACAAAACAUGUUUAUGACAAACUCAAAAAUCAUUGGCUAGCAGCAUGUAAACCUGUAUUUCAGAAGUUUUGGAACAUACGUUAGCUGCCAUGACUGCAUCCAAACAUUGGUGGGUACAGAUCAACCGCUCACAUCUUCUUUGUCCUUCUUACUGACUGAAUUGCUCUAGCUGGCCCAGAUCUUUUGGCCGUCUUACAAGAACAGCCCUCUUUACGUCUUGCCUCAGCAUUUUUCAUUAGUUGAGGUCUAGCUUUCAUCACGGACAUUCCAUGCAUGACAUUUCUAUCUCUAUGUUGUCCGUAGCUUGAGCUCUUCAUAGGGCCUACCUUGGCGAACAGGCCUAUGAGGAGAAACCAGACAUUCAACAAUGCAUCAAGGGCCUCUGAUGGUGCUAAAACGAACAAGUGAACCUUGGCAAGAAUAUAGAUGCUGUUGUGCUCCUGACCUCAUCCAGAAAGCACUUACCUGAGUGAUUUGAUACCAAGCCUGAAGUAGCGGGGAUGAGCAUCCGUACCUCUCAAUCCACGGCUGUGGUGAUCUCCCCGACAAAAACAGAUUAUUCCUUUCGGGUGAAAAGGGAGAGUCUGCCCUUGGUGACAGAGUUUCAGUACCUCAGGAUCUUCUUCAUGAGUGAUGAUCAAGACAAGCAGUAAUACUCUUUUUCCAUCUGCCGCACCUCCUAUGAGUCCUGUUUCUAAUCAGCUACAGUCAUAUUGCUGAGGUAUGAUGUAAAUAUGAGCUGAAGCAAGGUAGGACUGCAAAGCAUUGUCUAUGGUCUUGUACAGUAGGUCAUUUGGACAUUUCUUGUUGCUUUGUGUGGGCUAAUUUUGAAGGAUGCCACAUGUCUAGACAAAGGAACCAUGGUCUGAAAUGUUCAUUUGUGUCCUGUUUUGUCUUAUCCUACUAUAACCCUAUCCAAAGUAUCCCAUAUAUCCAAAGUGAUGAGCAGUCUCAGCACUCACAAAGGUCCUCUAAAGUCUUGUUAAACUGUGAUGGUGUGUAUUACAUUGAUACGGACAGAUAAUAAAAAAUAACUAGGUUUA